AUGAAUCUUCUCGUUUGGAACUAUCGGGGAUUGGGCUUGGACCCGACAGUAGGAGAACUGAGGAACCUGAUUAGGUCAUACAGCCCAGCGGUGGUGUUCUUGAGCGAGACUAAGAAGAAGGCGCGAGCUAUGAAGAAGAUCAAGUGGAGUUUGGGGUUCCGUCAUGGUGUUGCUGUGGACUGUGAGGGCAAGAGUGGUGGAUUAGCUUUACUUUGGAGGGAUCAUAUUUCUAUCACAGUUAGAUGGUGGUGCCAGUACUAUAUUGAUGCGGAGAUCUCCUCAGAGGGAAGAACCGUUAGAUUCACUGGAAUCUACGGAGAACCACGAACGGAGCAUAGACGGAAAACUUGGGAUGCACUUCGUUAUUUGAAACGACACGACAACUUGCCUUGGCUCUGUGCGGGAGACUUCAACGAGAUCCUUUUCCAAACAGAGCAGAGAGGUGGAAAUCCUAGAAACUUCAACCAAAUGGAGGACUUUCGGGAGUGUCUUGGUGAUUGUGGAAUAGCUGAUUUGGGGUUCACUGGAUACCCUUUUACGUGGGAUAAUAAGCAAGAUGGAGGAGCAAAUAUUUAG
rnacentral:rRNA from 1 species